UUAGACGAGAAGACCCUGUGGAGCUUUAGACGCCAGGAUAGCUCAUGUUAAGACCCCCUAAAUAAAGGCCUGAACUUAGUGACCCCCUAUUCUAAUGUCUUCGGUUGGGGCGACCAUGAGGAACAAAAACCCCUCACGUGGAAUGGGAGUACCAAAGCCCACUAUUAUUUUUUCCUACACUCCUACAACUAAGAGCCACAGCUCAAUUUAACAGAAAUUCUGACCAACAAUGAUCCGGCAAUGCUGAUCAACGGACCAAGUUACCCUAGGGAUAACAGCGCAAUCCCCUUUUAGAGCCCAUAUCGACAAGGGGGUUUACGACCUCGAUGUUGGAUCAGGACAUAAAG
rnacentral:rRNA from 1 species